AACGAACGCUGGCGGCAGGCCUAACACAUGCAAGUCGAACGAGAAGCCACCUUCGGGUGGUGGACAGUGGCAGACGGGUGAGUAACGCGUGGGAACGUGCCUUUCGGUUCGGAAUAACCCAGGGAAACUUGGGCUAAUACUGGAUACGCCUCGGGAAGAUCAUGCGAAGAUCGGCCCGCGUCGGAUUAGCUAGUUGGUGGGGUAAGUGGCCUACCAAGGCGACGAUCCGUAGCUGGUCUGAGAGGAUGACCA
rnacentral:rRNA from 1 species